rnacentral:lncRNA from 1 species
ACACAGUGUCCAAUUUUUCAGAGAAAGACAAAAAGAUUGCUGUGGCCACAGAUUCUCAAAUAAAGUGUUUGACCCUCCCCUUCCCUUAAUUUACCCUCCCCCCCCCUUUUUUUUUUUAUAAAAUCCUGAUUCUGCCACUCUUCCUAUUUUCUGUCAAAGAAAAAAAUAAAUAUAUCUGUACGUCUUUCUUAUUUUUCAGACCAAAUAAAUUUGUAUACUAAAAACUUGGGUGGUGUACCUUAACCCAGUGCAAGAAGAACACCUCAUAAACAACCUUUAAUUUUAAGUAUUUAUCACCUCAAAUCAUCAGCAAUCAUGUCUGCUUCAUAAUAAAUCACUCAACGCAAGCAACAUAUAGUAAGGGGAAGAUAUAUACAUCUACAAGUGCAAAAAUGCAGCUCUAUACAUUCAUGACAUUCAGACAUUGUUGGUUGAAAUCAAGACGAAAAAUUACAUCUUUACUUUCGUACCAACCUGACCUCAUGAUGUGUCAAUUUUUUUUGUUUAGGGUUGCUGUCACAUAACAGUAUUCUUUACUUUUAUUUCUAUACACUUAGAUCUUAAAUCAUCUUCGUCUUUCAGAAGAUGAGACUUGACUGUAUACAACCAUAACAAAGAGGAUAUUUUAAAGGGAGAUAACUUCCACAGAUCUCCUUACACAUGUUACAUGGAGGUGAUUGAGUCUCAUAGAAGUCUAAACAUGAAAACUUUCAUGCAAAAAUUAGAAAAACAGAGGUUUGCUUAAUAUCAUCAUCAAUCAAAAUUGUUUAGCGACUAGAGUUGUCUGUAUCAGAAUAUGACUGUAAAUGACCAAGUAAAGAAGAUCUCUCUUAAAAGGGAGAUAAGUCAAAUAGAAGUCUAAACAUGAAGACUUUUAUGCAAAAAUUUGAAAAAUAGAGGUUUGAUUAAUAUCAAACAAAAAAUGUAUCAAACGACUAGAGGUGACAGUAUAAAAUGACAGUAAAUUACCACAUAAAAAAUAAAAAUUGAGAAUGGAAAUGGGAAAUGUGUCAAAGAGACAACAACCCAACCGAAGAGCAGAAAACAGCCAGACAGGCCACUAAUGGGUCUUCAAUACAGGGAGAAAAUCUUACACCCAGAGACCUGCUCAGCUUGCCACGAAACAAAAUGUGUACUUCUUCAGUCAAAAGGGAGAUUAAUUGCAUAGAAGCC